CCUUAAUUGUUUUUGAGAGUCUGUUUCAGUCGAUUCAGAACCUUCACCUAUUUGAUACGAUGUCGAUGGUGAUACGUUGAGAUCUCUUCUGUCAGGAUGGGAUGGCGUAUUAUUGUGAAACCGUCGCUGGUCUUUUGCGGGCUUUAGUAAUCUUCGAAAUGGAUUUAUAUACAGCGAAAUCUGGACUGACAUCAGUUGAGCCCAAACAUCUGCUUCGUUGUCAGAAGUGACUUCCUUGGGUGCUAAUCCUCCAAGACUCCUGUGCGGUGUUGAGUUAUAAUUUUCAACAAUAUCUGGAAGGACAUCUAUAUAUCGGUAAGUUCUGUUUUUUUGAAAAUAUCUAAACAACCGCCCCCGUAUGGUGCGUAUAACUCGUUCUGCUAUUGACGCCUUUGAAUUUUGAUUAGCAAAAAAAAGUCGUACUCCUUUUUCUUUUAAAAACUUUUGAAGUAAACGGUUUUUGAAUUCUCCUCCACGAUCACUUCUAAUAGAAUUACUUUUUACUCCAGAUUCAAAUACCAAUUUCAUGGCAUUUAAUACAUCUUUUGCACUCUUUUGACGUAA